rnacentral:rRNA from 1 species
GAUGAACGCUGGCGGCGUGCCUAAUACAUGCAAGUCGAGCGAACAGACGAGGAGCUUGCUCCUCUGACGUUAGCGGCGGACGGGUGAGUAACACGUGGAUAACCUACCUAUAAGACUGGGAUAACUUCGGGAAACCGGAGCUAAUACCGGAUAAUAUAUUGAACCGCAUGGUUCAAUAGUGAAAGACGGUUUUGCUGUCACUUAUAGAUGGAUCCGCGCCGCAUUAGCUAGUUGGUAAGGUAACGGCUUACCAAGGCGACGAUGCGUAGCCGACCUGAGAGGUGGGUGGGCCCCCUGGGACUUGGGCACGGGCCCAAACCCCGCGGGGGGGCAGCAGGGGGGAACUUUCGGGAAGGGGCAAAAGCCUGAGGGGGACACGCCGGGGGAGUGUGGAAGGGUUUCGGCGCGUAAAACUUUUUUUUUUGGGAAAAAAAAAUUUGUAAGAAACGAGGCCAGUCUGACGGUAACUGAAGAAGAAACCCCGGGUAACUACGUG